rnacentral:rRNA from 1 species
GAGAAACCUCCUCGCCGAAAGACUAAGGAUUCCUGAUCAACGUUAAUCGGAUCAGGGUAAGUCGGGACCUAAGGAUAAGCCGAACGGCGAUUCCGAUGGAAGAAUGGGUUAAUAUUCCCAUACUACUUUAUAGAGCGAUGUGGAGACGGAGAAGUGACAGUCCUGCUGCCUGACGGAAUAGGUAGUUGAAGGGUGUAGACGUUGAUCGGGGUAGGCAAAUCCGCCCUGAGAGUCGAACCUGAUAGUAUGCGGAGUGCUUGCACGAAGCAAUAUGGAUGUAAACAGGCUCCCAAGAAAAUCUGCUAAGCAUAAUUUAUAGAGUACCCGUACCGUAAACGGACACACGUAGUUGGGUUGAGUAUACUAAGGCGCUCGAGUGAUUCACGGUUAAGGAACUAGGCAAAAUAGUCCUGUAACUUCGGGAAAAAGGACGCCAUCAGCAAUGGUGGCCGCAGAGAAUAGGCCCAGGCGACUGUUUAACAAAAACACAUGGCUAUGCAAAAUAGAAAUAUGAGGG